GUGGCGAACGGGUGAGGAACACGUGAGAAACCUGCCUCGGAUUUUGGGAUAACAAAUGGAAACGUUUGCUAAUACCAAAUAACGUCGGAGAGCCUCAUGGCUUUCUGACGAAAGGAAUUCCGAUUCGAGAGGGUCUCGCGGCCUAUCAGCUAGUUGGCGGGGUAAUGGCCCACCAAGGCAACGACGGGUAGCUGGUCUGAGAGGAUGGUCAGCCACACUGGGACUGAGACACGGCCCAGACUCCUACGGGAGGCAGCAGUGGGGAAUCUUGCGCAAUGGGCGAAAGCCUGACGCAGCAACGCCGCGUGCGGGAAGAAGGCUUUCGGGCUGUAAACCGCUUUCAGCAGGAACGAAAAUGACGGUACCUGCAGAAGAAGGAGCGGCCAACUAUGUGCCAGCAGCCGCGGUGAUACAUAGGCUUCAAGCGUUGUCCGGAUUUAUUGGGCGUAAAGAGUUCGUAGGCGGUCAAGUAAGUCGGGUGUGAAAAUUCUGGGCUCAACCCAGAGACGCCACUCGAUACUGCUUAACUUGAGUUCGAUAGGGGAGUGGGGAAUUCCUAGUGUAGCGGUGAAAUGCGCAGAUAUUAGGAGGAACACCGGUGGCGAAGGCGCCACUCUGGAUCGAUACUGACGCUGAGGAACGAAAGCAUGGGUAGCAAACAGGAUUAGAUACCCUGGUAGUCCAUGCCGUAAACGGUGGGCACUAGGUGUGGGUUUCUAUUAACGAAAUCCGCGCCGUCGCUAACGCAUUAAGUGCCCCGCCUGGGG
rnacentral:rRNA from 1 species